UACGGAGGGUGCGAGCGUUGUCCGGAAUCACUGGGCGUAAAGGGCGCGUAGGUGGCGCGGUUAGUCAGCGGUGAAAGCCCGAGGCUCAACUUCGGGUCGGCCGAUGAUACUGCCGCGCUUGAGCACUGUAGAGGCAGAUGGAAUUCCGGGUGUAGCGGUGGAAUGCGUAGAGAUCCGGAAGAACACCGGUGGCGAAGGCGGUCUGCUGGGCAGUUGCUGACACUGAGGCGCGACAGCGUGGGGAGCAAACAGG
rnacentral:rRNA from 1 species